rnacentral:rRNA from 1 species
CCCUUAGAUGUUCUGGGCCGCACGCGUGCUACACUGAUGCAUUCAACGAGUCUAAAACCUGGUCUGAUAGGGCUGGGUAAUCUUUUGAAAGUGCAUCGUGAUUGGGAUAGAUGAUUGCAAUUCUUCAUCUUCAACGAGGAAUGCCUAGUAAACGCAAGUCAUCAGCUUGCAUUGAUUACGUCCCUGCCCUUUGUACACACCGCCCGUCGCUCCUACCGAUUGAAUGAUCCGAUGAAUACCAUGGAUUGAGAGUACGAAUAGGUUCGCUUAUUUCUGCCGCUCGAGAAGUGGAGUAAAUCUUAUCAUUUAGAGGAAGGAGAAGUCGUAACA